CGCGUGUGACCCUCCUCGACCUUCAGCAGGCUGCAGGCCUGGAGUCUCGGCUGCGAGGGUGGGAAGGCCGGCUUCGGCGGCGGGCCGGAGGAGAGGGUCACUCCUCUCCUGACCCGAGUGACCUUCAGGGGCCGCAGCGAAGUGUGCCAGCAGCUCCCGAAACAUGAGGCCCGGAAAGCAUUAUCAGAUGAAGGCAGGGCAGAGGCCAGAGACCCUGGGCCUCAACCCUGGGACCCAGUGGACAGGAAGAGCCCAGUGGACUUCGAGAGGCCACGUCAGGCCAGCUGGGACUGGACUCAGUUGUCCGCUAGGACCCGCACCUGAGACGCACUCAUACGUGGGCCCUUACUACCGGCACUUUACCUGACAGUGUUCCCGUGACCUGCUCAUCAGCUGUGAGGACACCAGGGGUGCAACUCUCCCCAAAAUGCCCCUGUUUGAGCACAGUGGGGAUGCCUGCAACCUCCAGAUACGAGCAGAAGAGGACUGCACCUCUGAAUGCACUGAGAACACUUCAGGCCCUGCUUGGCACGUCUGUAGUUCCAGCUACUAGGGAGGCUGAGGGGGGAGGACCACUUGAG